rnacentral:rRNA from 1 species
UCAGGAUGAACGCUAGCGGCAGGCUUAAUACAUGCAAGUCGUGGGGCAGCAUGAGUAGCAAUACUUGAUGGCGACCGGCAAACGGGUGAGGAACACGUACACAACCUUCCUUCAAGCGGGGAAUAGCCCAGAGAAAUUUGGAUUAAUACCCCAUAAUAUAUUUGAUAAGGCAUCUUAUUAAUAUUAAAGCUUCGGCACUUGAUGAUGGGUGUGCGGCUGAUUAGAUAGUUGGCGGGGUAACGGCCCACCAAGUCUACGAUCAGUAGCUGAUGUGAGAGCAUGAUCAGCCACACGGGCACUGAGACACGGGCCCGACUCCUACGGGAGGCAGCAGUAAGGAAUAUUGGACAAUGGACGAAAGUCUGAUCCAGCCAUGCCCGCGUGAAGGAUUAAGGUCCUCUGGAUUGUAAACUUCUUUUAUAUGGGGACGAAAAAAGGGCAUUCUUAUUCACUUGACGGUACCAUAUGAAUAAGCACCGGCUAACUCCGUG